CAUCAGCUACGCGCAGUGCCAGCCACACUGCUGUCUGCCUGUGCGCCUGGGUGCAUACAACUACGCCGUGUUGAUAGUGGGCAGAAAGGCAAUACUCAGCACACCACUGAGGAAUCUGUAAGUAAAUAAGAAAACAGAUGGAUUUGGUAUUUAACACGCUUAGCAGAGACUAAUGCAAAAGAAGUAGACAGUGUGGAAGAACUAAAUCAGCCUGAGCACCUGCUGCGUACUGUCUGCCGGACUGCUGAUGGAUGAGCUGUACCUGACACAGAAAUUAUCUGCCUUGGUAAAUGUCAAGGACCUGAAUAUCUUAAGCAGUCAAGAGUUGGAGUGACAUGGGCUGGAAGGUUUACCUGGGAAUUUCUUAAUUGGAUUCGGCUUAGUUGGAAUGUAUCGCAGAAGGGACAGAAUUGACCUCCGGGGAGCAGAUUACAAAAGGUGGCUGCACAUCUGUUUCUACGCUGAGAACUGCUAAACUCAGUACAACUAUGUGUGCAUAUACUCAGCUCUGAACUGCAGUUCUGAACUCUGCAGAACUGGAUGUUAUUAUAUUGCAGGACCAUACAGCACUCUGCGCUGCUGACUGAAGCCAGCUUUGGACCAGAUUGGCUACAAUGCUAUUCAUGCAUUCUCUGAUGACAGCAGCAUAGAAAACAAACAAAAAGAAGUAGGAGAAAAUCUUUUGUUCAGCAGUCG